CUACAAUAGCUUCCUAUCUCAAAGGUGGUCGGCUCACCCCUAGAAAAGAAAUGUCAGAGGGGGGUGAGAACAUGGAGGUUUAUCAAGCGCUGUCCCUGAUGUUUAUGUUUGGGAUGUUCCUGUUAGCUUUGUUAACCUACCUGAAAAAGAAAUGACCUCAUGCUGUGCACAAAGCACAGGAGGUCAUUUCUUGUCUAUAGCUGAUGAGCUGAUUCAUCGAAGAGAAUCAACUAUUGUAGAAGGCUGUGAGUGCGGCAACACUCACG
rnacentral:sRNA from 1 species